rnacentral:lncRNA from 1 species
UUAUUAUUAUAUAUAUAUAUAAUUUAUUUAUGAAUAUAUUAUACGUUAAUUAAACAUAAUUUAUUAUUUAUAUGUGAGAGAGAGAAAUGAAAAUAAUAGAGUUUGAGGGUAUUUUUGUCCUUUCAUACAUUUAUCCCAAGGAUAAAUUAUGGUGGGAUUGUUAUCUCACCAAUUGAGUGGAUAAGUUAUCCCGGGACUAUUAGUUAGUCCCGGAAUAAGUUAUCCCAAAUAUUGUCAACCAAACAUGCAAUAGAAAAUUUUAUCCCGGGAUUAUUAUUUUAUCCCGGGAUUAUUUACUUCAACACCUCAAACCAAACGACCCCUUAGUAUUCAGUAGAGGCUUCAUAGACAGUAUUUGAAGUGUUGUAUUGUCUUAUCAUGUAGACACAAUUUGGAUUAUAAGUUUCCAUUGAACACUGUAAUAUCUUCCACACUUUGAUUUAUGUAUGGGUUAUGCUUGUGAUUACAUGCUAAGGGGUCUCUCAGUCCUUGAUGGUUCAAGAUGUCUGUCGCAACCAGGAUCUCGGCUCGGGUCGUGACAAAAAUAGAAGCAUCCAUCUAAUUUAAAAACACUUGAGACCUCCCACUAACAACAGGCUAGAAUCAAUAAGCACUUCAGGGAACACACAGACAUAGCAUUACAUGCAGUUACUGAGAUAGCAAGAAGAAGCCCUCAACAAUAUAUCACAAUAACACAUUUGAAAAUGGACAUGUUAGUGUAAGUAUUAAUUUAGGAAAAAAGUCAUGGGUUAAACGGUUUUCUAAAAUAGCACUACAGGUUUUAUGCUUUCUAGGAGCAGUAUAACCUUUAAGGGUCGUUUAGCUCAAAACAAAGCUAUCGCUGUUACAAUCUCGGAUUUUGGUAUAGAGUUUACCCAGAUUUAAGCUAAUUCUCACAACCAAACAUGAAACAAAUUUCAUCUCAAAUUUUAUAACAUCACCCCCUUAAAUUGCUACACCCAAAUUGCCCCUAAGAGAUUCAUACAUUUCUAAUAAGUUGUAUUUGUAUUAGCAUAAUAUCGUCAUGGAGCAUGAAAUGAGUGUAACAUGAAAUGAGUGUAAAUGUAACAUGAAAUGAGUGUAAAUGGAGUAAAAUGGUCAGUGACGAUUCAUAUAGCCAAAGACACAACUAAUUUGGGACUAGGGCAGUUGCUAUCGAUGAUCAAUUUAUCCCUAACAUCACUGCAAGAUGCAGUUCAGAAAAUUUAUUGCCUAGGUUGAUAAAUAGAUGACAUUAGUGCAAGAUAUUGUUUAAAAUUUUCCAAAUUGCAACUAACUUGCCUAGAAGUUGUCACCAAGCAACUUUCCUAACUUGAAUAGAAAACAAAUUCAAGGUACUUUUCUAACAUUAAACUACCCUAAAAUAACAUUUUUUUUCCAGAUUAAAACUUAUUACUUACUUGUUUGGCUCUUAAUCCCAGCUUUCGGCAACUAACCUUUACUUAAGAGAUAGUUAAGGCGCUAAGGAAUACCUCACUACUAUCUAUUUAUUUGUGAUAAAUAUCUUGGUUAAUAAUUACUUCAGUUUCAAUACAUCUUAGACUGGUUGAUUUAGUUGAGCUGCACGAUAAGUUUUUUUUUUUCUUUUAAAAAAAAAGUACAUCUUAGGUCUAGAGAACUGAUAUCAACAUUAAAAAAUAAAAAAAAAUAAAAAAAAUUUGAAGCAAUCAUUUGAAACAACUCAUAUAUAACAAGCGUAAACCUAAGUUGAUAAAACGAAAUCGUCCAUUCCCUAAACCAUUCUCCGUGAAAGCAAAUCAUUACAUAUAUAAUAAAUAAACC